rnacentral:rRNA from 1 species
CCUACGGGUGGCAGCAGUGGGGAAUAUUGCGCAAUGGGCGAAAGCCUGACGCAGCGACGCCGCGUGAGGGAUGAAGGUCUUCGGAUCGUAAACCUCUGUCAGCAGGGAAGAACGGUCACUGUGCUAAUCAGCAGUGAAUUUACGGUACCUGCAAAGGAAGCACCGGCUAACUCCGUGCCAGCAGCCGCGGUAAUACGGAGGGUGCGGGCGUUAAUCGGAAUUACUGGGCGUAAAGCGCUCGUAGGCGGUAUGUCAAGUCAAGGGUGAAAUCCCCGCGCUCAACGUGGGAACGGCCUUUGAAACUGGCAAACUGGAGAGUGUGAGCGGAUAGUGGAAUGCAAGGUGUAGGAGUGAAAUCCGUAGAGAUC